AGUCAUUCUCCUUCACUUUUCACCUCUUCUCAAAACCCUUGCGCCACUAUUUUUUUCCCUUUUUUUUUACCAUUUUAUGGACCUCUUCGCCGCCGAUCACUUCCCCGUCCCCGACCACGUCGCUCCAUUUCCUGAUUCCGGCGACCUUUUAUUCCCUGCCGACCUCCUCUCCCACCCCCAGAAGCUCCGCCCCAUCCGGUCCCUUCCCUCCGCUCUCAAUGCCCACCCUCGUCCGCCCGAUCUGAUUUCCUCCGAGUCGGGUCACACCCCGAGCCAAGAAUCUGACUCGGCUUUGGAUGCGGAGGAUGAAGAGGAGAAUGAUGACAAUUCAUCAGCAAGCCCUGAAGGAAAUGCGGAGGUUUAAUUUUUCAUGACUAGUUUAAAAGUUUCAACGAUGUUACGGAGUGGACAAAAUUGCAUAAUCUUUCUAAUUAACAAUGGCGGAUACUCUACAAAGAUACAAAUCCAUGAUGGACCUUACAAUGUCAUAAAAAACUGGGACUAUGCUGGACUGGUGGAAAAAAUAGACAAUGGUGAAGGCAAGUGCUGGACUACUAAGGUGCACUGUGAGGAGGAGCUAACAGAAGCAAUAAAGAUAGCAAUGGAAAGAAAAAAGAGUUGCCUAUGCUUCAUUGAAGUGAUAGUUGAGAGCGAUGAUGCAAGCAAGGAAUUGAUUGUGUUGGGAAGCAGGCUUGCGGCUUUUAGUGGUCGCCCACCUAAGGAUAAUUAAGAUUUCGCAGAUCUUAUAACAUAUAUUAUACUAUUGUUUAAAGUUUAUUUAUCAUCAUCCAAAUAUAAUAUUUUAUCCUUACAAAUUGUCAUUAGUCAAUUAUUUGAAAAAAAAAAUUAUCAAACAAAUACUUUUAUACUAAGAACGUAGUCUAUGUAGGGCUAGGUUCAUGUUUGCAUGAGUUGUAUUAAAUAAAUAGAAAAGAGGAUUGCUUGAUUUAUUGCUGGUUUUACAUGUAUUUGUAUUGGUUUAUGUUAAGUACAAAUAAAUGAUAUUUAAGUGGUUUCUUCCUUUUGUAAUACCAGAUUUAAU